rnacentral:lncRNA from 1 species
GAUGAAUCAUGUAUCCAAGCUAUGCUUUUUGCUAGCUCACAUGUGUUCCCCACGAUCUUGAACACUGCGGUUGAGCUAAACCUGUUUGAGAUCAUCGCUCGAGCAGGCCCUGGUGCUUAUGUCUCACCCUCUGAGAUCGCAUCCCAGCUUCCCACCCAAAACCCCAAUGCACCUUGUUUUAUGGAUCGGAUGCUGCGUCUAUUUGCUAGUCACGGGCUUCUAUCUUACAGCCUGCGCACACUCGAAGAUGGCAGAGUUGAUAGGCUUUAUGGUCUCACUCCCGUUUGUAAAUUCUUUCUUAGGAGUGAUGAUGGGAGUUGUUUGGCUUCCUUAUCGACCCUGGGUUCCCACCGAGCUAUGAGGGAAGUUUGGUCUGCACUUUCACCCUAAUUUUGUUUUUCAGGCAUAUUUCUUUCAAAUUUGAUCUGCAAAAUAUUUCCUACAGUUUACAAUAGCAUGUUCUGCACAAUAUCUCCAUGAUCUCCUACAGUAUGCUAAUCAUCAUCAUGUAAUGUGUAGGCCACACUUGAAGGACGCCAUUCUUAAAGGUGGUAAUCAAUUCCAGAAAGUCCACGGGAUGAGUAUGUUUGAGUACAUGGACAAGGACCCGACACUAAACAAGGCCUUCAAUGAGGCAAUGGUUGGUCGCUCCACCAUAAUCAUGAAGAAAAUCGUGGAGACCUACCAGGGGUUUGAGGGAUUAGCAUCACUUGUGGACGUGGGCGGUGGAACCGGUGCAAACCUUAACAUGAUCAUUUCCAAGUAUCCUUCCAUCAAAGGCAUCAACUUUGAUUUGCCACAUGUUGUGCAAACUGCACCAACUUAUCCGGGUAAUAAUUAAUUAUUUUUUCUCAUCUCUUACUAAGUGUGUUUGAGAGUAUUUAUAAUUAAUAGAAAUGUUUUUUUUUUGUAAAUGUUUUUAUAAGGAUCACCUAUCAAGUCUUUUUCCAAAAAACACUAUACAUGAUUUUUCAACACUAUAAUUAAUUUCUCAAAAUUUUAAAAAUGUUCAUAAAUUUUACUAAAUACCUAAUAUUUUUUUAAAAAUAUUUUUUAGACUAAAAAGAUUUAUUAGAAUCACUAUCAAACGAACUCUAAGGCUCUAUUUGACAACUGUUUUUAAUAACAGUUUCUUGCUUUUUAAAAUAAAAAAAACAGAAAAAUACGUUUGACAAUUAAAAACUGUUUUCUAUUUUUUUUUUUUUAGAUUACUUCUUUUAGCUGUUUUCUAUUUUUUUUAAAGUUGUUUUAAAGAAUAAUUAUAUAAACAUAUAUAAUGAUUAAAAAUAAAGUUAUGAACAUAAAAAUUAUUUUUAAAACAUAUUUAAAAAUAUUAAAAAUAUGUUUAAAACAAUUUUAAUAAGUGAUAAAAAUAUAAAAGAUCCAUAGUAAUUAUGCUUACUGUUUUAAUAACAAUAUAAAGACUCCUUAAUUUCAACCACACACUCAUGGUCUUUUUCGAGGAUGUGGUGCUCAACAUGAUCAAAGAAAGAGAACAUAACCAUAUUGGAAAAAAAUUGAUCAAUACCAUAAUGUGAAGGAUUGAAAUUUGAUUUUUAGUUGUAUAAGUUAGGUACCAAAUUUAUAGGUAAAGAUAUAGAGGCCAAAACAUAGUAAAUUAAUAGAGAGAGAGAGAGAGCAACAAAGUAUGAGUCUAAAAAAAAUGAGGCAAAUGGUUGGAUGAUCAUGAAAUUUGACUUUUUGUUGCAUAAGUUAGAUACCAAUUUUUCUAGGUAAGAAUAUUGAAUAUUAGUUGUCAUUUGGCUUAUAUAUAGAAGAUAGAUAGAUAGAUAGAGAGAGAGAGAGAGUAAUAAAGUAAGAGUCUUAAAAAAGAUGAGGCAAAUCAUUGGAUGAGGAUGAAUCAUGAAAUUUGACUUUUUGUUGCAUAAGUUAGAUAUCAAUUUUUCUAGGUAAGAAUAUUGAAUAUUAGUUGUCAUUUGGCUUAUAUAUAGAAGAUGUAGAGGCCAAAACAUAGUAAAUUAAUAGAGAGAGGAAUAUUAGAGCAACAAAGUAUGAGUCUCAAAAAAGAUGAGGCAUAUCGUUGGAUGAGCGAAGAGGAUGAAUCAUGUAUCCAAGCUAUGCUUUUUGCUAGCUCACAUGUGUUCCCCACGAUCUUGAACACUGCGGUUGAGCUAAAUCUGUUUGAGAUCAUCGCUCGAGCAGGCCCUGGUGCUUAUGUCUCACCCUCUGAGAUCGCAUCCCAGCUUCCCACCCAAAACCCCAAUGCACCUUGUUUUAUGGAUCGGAUGCUGCGUCUAUUUGCUAGUCACGGGCUUCUAUCUUACAGCCUGCGCACACUCGAAGAUGGCAGAGUUGAUAGGCUUUAUGGUCUCACUCCCGUUUGUAAAUUCUUUCUUAGGAGUGAUGAUGGGAGUUGU